rnacentral:rRNA from 1 species
AUUGAACGCUGGCGGCAUGCCUUACACAUGCAAGUCGAACGGCAGCACGGGAGCUUGCUCCUGGUGGCGAGUGGCGAACGGGUGAGUAAUACAUCGGAACGUACCCAGUCGUGGGGGAUAACGUAGCGAAAGUUACGCUAAUACCGCAUACGUCCUGAGGGAGAAAAGCGGGGGGACCGUAAGGCCUCGCGCGAUUGGAGCGGCCGAUGUCGGAUUAGCUAGUUGGUAGGUAAAGGCCUACCAAGGCGACGAUCCGUAGCGGGUCUGAGAGGAUGAUCGCCACACUGGGACUGAGACACGGCCCAGACUCCUACGGGAGGCAGCAGUGGGGAAUUUUGGACAAUGGGCGAAAGCCUGAUCCAGCCAUGCCGCGUGAGUGAAGAAGGCUCGGUGUAAG